rnacentral:rRNA from 1 species
UGGGGAAUAUUGCACAAUGGGCGCAAGCCUGAUGCAGCGACGCCGCGUGAGGGAUGGAGGCCUUCGGGUUGUAAACCUCUUUCGCCAGUGAAGCAGGCCAUCUUCUUUGUGGGGUGGUUGACGGUAGCUGGAUAAGAAGCGCCGGCUAACUACGUGCCAGCAGCCGCGGUAAUACGUAGGGCGCGAGCGUUGUCCGGAAUUAUUGGGCGUAAAGAGCUCGUAGGCGGCUGGUCGCGUCUGUCGUGAAAUCCCCUGGCUUAACUGGGGGCUUGCGGUGGGUACGGGCCGGCUUGAGUGCGGUAGGGGAGACUGGAAUUCCUGGUGUAGCGGUGGAAUGCGCAGAUAUCAGGAGGAAUACCGGUGGCGAAGGCGGGUCUCUGGGCCGUUACUGAAGCUGAGGAGCGAAAGGGUGGGGAGCGAACAGG